CCUACGGGUGGCAGCAGUGAGGAAUAUUGGUCAAUGGACUAAAGUCUGAACCAGCCAAGUAGCGUGAAGGAUGACUGCCCUAUGGGUUGUAAACUUCUUUUAUAUGGGAGUAAAGUGUUCCACGUGUAGGCUUUUGUAUGUACCCUAUGAAUAAGGAUCGGCUAACUCCGUGCCAGCAGCCGCGGUAAUACGGAGGAUCCGGACGUUAUCCGGGUUUAUUGGGGUUAAAGGGAGCGUAGGUGGAUUUUUAAGGCCGUUGGGAAAGUUUGCGGCUCAACCGUAAAAUUGCAGUUGAAACUGGCAGGCGUGAGUACAGGAGAGGUGGGCGGAAUGCGUGGUGUAGCGGUGAAAUGCUUAGAUAUCACGAAGAACUCCGAUUGCGAAGGCAGUUCACCGGACUGCAACUGACACUGAGGCUCGAAAGUGUGGGUAUCAAACAGGAUUAGAUACCCGGGUAGUC
rnacentral:rRNA from 1 species